AUUGAACGCUGGCGGCAGGCUUAACACAUGCAAGUCGAACGGAGUGGCGGACGGGUGAGUAAUGCCUAGGAAUCUGCCUGGUAGUGGGGGAUAACGUCAGGACACGGGCGCUAAUACCGCAUACUAUCAGAUGAGCCUAGGUCGGAUUAGCUAGUUGGUGGGGUAACGGCCUACCAAGGCGACGAUCCGUCACUGGUCUGAGAGGAUGAUCAGUCACCCUGGAACUGAGACACGGUCCAUACUCCUACGGGAGGCAGCAGUGGGGAAUAUUGGACAAUGGGCGAAAUCCUGAUCCAGCCAUGCCGCGUGUGUGAAGAAGGUCUUCGGAUUGUAAAGCACUUUAAGUUGGGAGGCGUUACCAACAGAAUAAGCACCGGCUAACUUCGUGCCAGCAGCCGCGGUAAUUC
rnacentral:rRNA from 1 species